rnacentral:rRNA from 1 species
GAUGAACGCUGGCGGCGUGCUUAACACAUGCAAGUCGAACGGAAAGGCUCCUGCUUGCGGGGGUACUCGAGUGGCGAACGGGUGAGUAACACGUGGGUGAUCUGCCCUGCACUUCGGGAUAAGCCUGGGAAACUGGGACUAAUACCGGAUAGGACGAUGGUCUGAAUGCCAUUGUGGAAAGUUUUUCGGUGUGGGAUGGGCUCGCGGCCUAUCAGCUUGUUGGUGGGGUAAUGGCCUACCACGGCGUCGACGGGUAGCCGGCCUGAGAGGGUGUACGGCCACAUUGGGACUGAGAUACGGCCCAGACUCCUACGGGAGGCAGCAGUGGGGAAUAGUGCACAAUGGGCGCAAGCCUGAUGCAGCGACGCCGCGUGGGGGAUGACGGCCUUCGGGUUGUAAACUCCUUUCGCUAGGGACGAAGCGCAAGUGACGGUACCUGGAGAAGAAGCACCGGCUAACUACGUG